UUAGCUUCUUAUUCAAGAAUGAAGUUGCGUGGAAUGAACUUUGAAGUUCCCAAACUGGAGGUAUUGAACUUGUCACGUACAGAUGUUGAUGAUGAAGCGCUCUAUAUGAUCUCAAAGAGUUGUCGUGGGCUUUUGCAACUGUUACUGGAACGUUGUUGUAAUGUCACAGAGAAAGGGGUAAAGCAUGUUGUAGAAAACUGCACACAACUUAGAGAGAUCAAUUUAAUGAGGUGUGAAAAAGUGCAUCCUAAUGUCGUUGCCUCAAUGGUAUUAUCAAGGCCAUCAUUGAGAAAGAUAAUUGCUCCAGCUUGUUAUUGUUUCAGUGACAUAGAAAGGGAACUCUUCUCGCGUCAAAGAUGCCUUGUUUGCUAUUCGUAGCAUUCUCAAACUGCACUGGUGAAGUUUAAACUCUGAAAUGGAUUCAAAAUCCAUUGGAAGGACCUAAAGGGAAUUAAAGAUGCUAAUGCAACUUUGGUUUGGUUUUUGCUGAGUUGAGUCAUGCUACAUCAGGGGAAGCUUGCAGAUGUGGUUGCCAAAGAAUUUGGCGAGUGGCUAAAUCAUUAUUUGUUGGCAUCUACAGUAAUUAAAGAACAGAAGGUGAAAAUUACAUUACAGUAACUAAGGAAGACAGGGUGAAUUGUUGUUCAGAGAGUAAAUACGUAUAUGCUUAAUUUGAUCUUCAGGUUUUGUAGGAAGUAAUUGUAGCUUGGUUUCAUGUUAUAAUAACAAUUUCGUAUAAGCCAUACAUACCUUUUGGCAGAAA